rnacentral:misc_RNA from 1 species
UUGAAUUUAAAACUUGGUUGGGUUGUUGCUGGCUCUCUGGAGCAUGUGCACGCUCAGUCAAAUUUUCAACCACCUGUGCACACACUGUAGGCCUGAAUGAACUUUUUUUUCCGGGGAAACUCGGGGUUUGAGAACUGCAAGUCAGCUGUUCUUGUAUUUCAGGUCUAUGUUUUAAACCCAUAUACUCUAUAGCAAGUGAUAGAAUGUCUAUUAUUGGCCUUUUGUGCCUUUAAAUCUAAUA